ACUGAUAAGAUGCGAGGGCUUCACCGCCUAUCAAGUCUUGAUAAACUCCGAAUGCUUAAAUAAGAAUCAGAGGAGUGAGGGCAUGGGUGCUAAGGUCCAUGUCCGAGAGGGAAAUAACCCAGACCACCGGCUAAGGUCCCGAAAUAACGGCUAAGUUGAAUUAACGAAGUAGAACUGCAGAGACAGCUAGGAUGUUGGCUUGGAAGCAGCCAUUCAUUUAAAGAGUGCGUAACAGCUCACUAGUCGAGCGAUCUGGCGUGGAUAAUAAUCGGGCAUAAACGAUCUGCCGAAGCCGCGGAUGUCGCAAGACAUGGUAGGGGAGCAUUCCAUGGGCGUCGAAGAUGAGGGAUGACCCUUGUUGGAGCGCAUGGAAAAGCAAAUGUAGGUAUGAGUAACGAUAAGGGGGGCGAGAAACCCCCCCGCCGAAAGACCAAGGUUUCCUGAUCAACGCUAAUCGGAUCAGGGUGAGUCGGGACCUAAGGCAAAGCCGAACGGCGCCGCCGAUGGAAGAAUGGGUUAAUAUUCCCAUACUGCCUCAUGGAGUGACGUGGAGACGGAGAAGUGACAGUCCUGCCGGCUGACGGAAUAGCCGGUUGAAGGGUGUAGGUGUCGAUCGCGGUAGGCAAAUCCGCCGCGAGAGCCGAACCUGAGAGUAUACGGAGCGCUUGCGCAACGUAAUAUGGACGUAACCAUGCUCCCAAGAAAAUCCGCUAAACUUAUCCAUGCGGCACCCGUACCGUAAACGGACACACGUGGUCGGGUUGAGAAUACUGAGGCGCUCGAGUGACUCACGGUUAAGGAACUAGGCAAAUUGACCCUGUAACUUCGGGAUAAAGGGUCCUCGUCGUAAGGCGAGGCGCAGAGAAUAGGUCCAGGCAACUGUUUAACAAAAACACAUGGCUGUGCCAAAUGGAAACAUGACGUAUACAGCCUGACACCUGCCCGGUGCCGGAAGGUUAAGAGGAGAUGUCAUCCGCGAGGAGAAGCGUUGAAUUGAAGCCCCGGUAAACGGCGGCCGUAACUAUAACGGUCCUAAGGUAGCGAAAUUCCUUGUCGGGUAAGUUCCGACCUGCACGAAUGGUGUAAUGAUCUGGACACUGUCUCAACCGUGAGCUCAGUGAAAUUGUAGUAUCGGUGAAGAUGCCGAUUACCCGCGAUGGGACGAAAAGACCCCGUGAACCUUUACUAUAGCUUUACAUUGAGUUUGGGCAGACGAUGUGUAGGAUAGGCCGGAGGCUUUGAAGCAGGUACGCCAGUAUUUGUGGAGCCGACGUUGAAAUACGGCCCUUCGGUUGUUUGAGUUCUAACUCCCGGACGGGAGGACACUGUAUGGUGGGUAGUUUGACUGGGGUGGUCGCCUCCAAAAGCGUAACGGAGGCUUCUAA
rnacentral:rRNA from 1 species